rnacentral:rRNA from 1 species
GAUGAACGCUGGCGGCGUGCCUAAUACAUGCAAGUCGAGCGAACGGACGAGAAGUUUGCUUCUCUGAUGUUAGCGGCGGACGGGUGAGUAACACGUGGAUAACCUACCUAUAAGACUGGGAUAACUUCGGGAAACCGGAGCUAAUACCGGAUAAUAUUUUGAACCGCAUGGUUCAAAAGUGAAAGACGGUCUUGCUGUCACUUAUAGAUGGAUCCGCGCUGCAUUAGCUAGUUGGUAAGGUAACGGCUUACCAAGGCAACGAUGCAUAGCCGACCUGAGAGGAUGAUCGGCCACACUGGAACUGAGACACGGUCCAGACUCCUACGGGAGGCAGCAGUAGGGAAUCUUCCGCAAUGGGCGAAAGCCUGACGGAGCAACGCCGCGUGAGUGAUGAAGGUCUUCGGAUCGUAAAGCUCUGUUAGUUGGGAAGAACAUAUGUGUAAGUAACUGUGCACAUCUUGACGGUACCUAAUCAGAAAGCCACGGCUAACUACGUG